rnacentral:rRNA from 1 species
UUUAGCAUGGAAUAAUAAAAUAGGACGUGUGGUUCUAUUUUGUUGGUUUCUAGGACCGCCGUAAUGAUUAAUAGGGACAGUCGGGGGCAUCAGUAUUCAAUCGUCAGAGGUGAAAUUCUUGGAUUUAUUGAAGACUAACUACUGCGAAAGCAUUUGCCAAGGACGUUUUCAUUAAUCAGGAACGAAAGUUAGGGGAUCGAAGACGAUCAGAUACCGUCGUAGUCUUAACCAUAAACUAUGCCGACUAGGGAUCGGACGGUGUUAUUUUUUGACCCGUUCGGCACCUUACGAGAAAUCAAAGUGCUUGGGCUCCAGGGGGAGUAUGGUCGCAAGGCUGAAACUUAAAGGAAUUGACGGAAGGGCACCACCAGGUGUGGAGCCUGCGGCUUAAUUUGACUCAACACGGGGAAACUCACCAGGUCCAGAAAUCUAGA